CGUGUGCGCGUGCGCGGGCAGUGCGGGCUGGCGGCGCGCUUCCCGCGGGGCGUCGGUGGCGCGAGGUCGCUGCCCAGGCGUGGGCUUUGUUAAACGCCGGACCCGAGCGGGAAAAGGAAACUGAAAAGUGAAUCUGAUCCCGGACUAGGCGGAGUCCAGUUCCAGGAAACGGAAACUUCUGCGAGAGCUAUUGUACUUUUACAAUUCUCUUCAGUUUUCCAAGAGCAACAGGAAGUGACCAAAUCACAGCUCAGAGCAUGGAGCCUGCUUCA